GAAGGAUCAUUAUUGAAUAAACUUGAACGGGCUGUUGCUGNCGUCCUCUGGGGCGCAUGUGCACGCCUGUCAUCUUUAUUUCUCCAACUGUGCACUUAUUGUCGACCUGAAGGGUUCUUCGAAUUGUUUUCGAGUUGGGGGACUGCUGUGCUUAAAAAGAGUCGGCUUUCCCUUGUAUUUUUCAGGUCGAUGUCAUUUUCACAAACCUAUGAAACCUGUUUAGAAUGUUGAAUCAGGUCCUUUUGUACCUAUAAAGUUAAAUAUACAACUUUCAGCAACGGAUCUCUUGGCUCUCGCAUCGAUGAAGAACGCAGCGAAAUGCGAUAAGUAAUGUGAAUUGCAGAAUUCAGUGAAUCAUCGAAUCUUUGAACGCAUCUUGCGCUCCUUGGUAUUCCGAGGAGCAUGCCUGUUUGAGUGUCAUCUAAGUCCUCAAGCCACAUUGAUUGUUUUCGGUGUGGCUUGGAUGUGGGGGUUUCUUUUUUGCAGGCUUUAGAAAUGAAGUCCGCUCCCCUGAAAUGCAUUAGUGGUAUCUGAGCAGAAGAACUACUACAGGUGUGAUAAUAUAUCUAUGCCUUGGUAAUGCUGCAUGAACAGAUUGCGCCGCUUCCAACAAGAAUUUAUUAUUUUUGGAGACCUCAAAUCAGGUAGGACUACCCGCUGAACUUAAGCAUAUCAAUAAGCGGAGGAAAAGAAACUAACAAGGAUUCCCCUAGUAACUGCGAGUGAAGCGGGAAAAGCUC
rnacentral:rRNA from 1 species